rnacentral:lncRNA from 1 species
GCUUUCGUCCGCUCUAGGACACCAGACACACCAGGCCGCCAUGUUGUGUAAGGAUCCCCAGCCAGUGAGCCUAAAAUGGGUAGAAGGAAAAGAUAUUUCUUACCCUACGCACCCAGGUCCAAGUCAUCAUUAUUUUGUCUGAAAUUUAUCUUCCUAACUGAUUUCUCUGCUUCCCCAUUGUGCCUUAAGAGUUAGUUUUCCACAGAGCAGCUCGAGAUAUCUUUUCAGAUCAUUAUAUCCCUUUGCUUAAAAACCUCUAACAGCUUCCUAUUAGGCUUAGAAUAAAGUACAAACUCCUUAAUGUGAA